rnacentral:rRNA from 1 species
AUUGAACGCUGGCGGCAUGCUUUACACAUGCAAGUCGAACGGUAACAGGUUAAGCUGACGAGUGGCGAACGGGUGAGUAAUGCAUCGGAACGUGCCCGAUCGUGGGGGAUAACGCAGCGAGAGCUGCGCUAAUACCGCAUACGAUCUGAGGAUGAAAGCGGGGGACCGUAAGGCCUCGCGCGAUCGGAGCGGCCGAUGUCAGAUUAGGUAGUUGGUGGGGUAAAGGCUCACCAAGCCAACGAUCUGUAGCUGGUCUGAGAGGACGACCAGCCACACUGGGACUGAGACACGGCCCAGACUCCUACGGGAGGCAGCAGUGGGGAAUUUUGGACAAGGGGCGAAAGCCUGAUCCAGCAAUGCCGCGUGCAGGAAGAAGGCCUUCGGGUUGUAAACUGCUUUUGUACGGAGCGAAAAGGUUCUCUCUAAUACAGAGGGCUCAUGACGGUACCGUAAGAAUAAGCACCGGCUAACUACGUGCCAGCCGCCGCCGUAA